rnacentral:rRNA from 1 species
UACGUAGGAGGCGAGCGUUGUCCGGAGUUAUUGGGCGUAAAGGGCUCGUAGGCGGUUUGUCGCGUCGGGAGUGAAAACGCCGGGCUUAACUCGGUGCUUGCUUUCGAUACGGGCAGACUAGAGGCAUGCAGGGGAGAACGGAAUUCCUGGUGUAGCGGUGAAAUGCGCAGAUAUCAGGAGGAACACCGGUGGCGAAGGCGGUUCUCUGGGCAUGUCCUGACACUGAGGAGCGAAAGUGUGGGGAGCGAACAGG